CCUACGGGGGGCUGCAGUGGGGAAUAUUGGACAAUGGGCGAAAGCCUGAUCCAGCCAUGCCGCGUGUGUGAAGAAGGCCUUCGGGUUGUAAAGCACUUUCAGUGGGGAAGAAAGCCUUGUGGCUAAUACCCUCGAGGAAGGACAUCACCCACAGAAGAAGCACCGGCUAACUCCGUGCCAGCAGCCGCGGUAAUACGGAGGGUGCGAGCGUUAAUCGGAAUUACUGGGCGUAAAGCGCGCGUAGGCGGUCUGAUAAGCCGGUUGUGAAAGCCCCGGGCUCAACCUGGGAACGGCAUCCGGAACUGUCAGGCUAGAGUGCAGGAGAGGAAGGUAGAAUUCCCGGUGUAGCGGUGAAAUGCGUAGAGAUCGGGAGGAAUACCAGUGGCGAAGGCGGCCUUCUGGACUGACACUGACGCUGAGGUGCGAAAGCGUGGGUAGCAAACAGGAUUAGAUACCCGGGUAGUC
rnacentral:rRNA from 1 species